rnacentral:rRNA from 1 species
UACGUAGGGUGCGAGCGUUAAUCGGAAUUACUGGGCGUAAAGUGUGCGCAGGCGGCCGCGCAAGUCGAGUGUGAAAGCCCCGAGCUUAACUUGGGAAUUGCGCUCGAAACUACGUGGCUGGAGUGUGGCAGAGGAAGGUGGAAUUCCACGUGUAGCGGUGAAAUGCGUAGAUAUCAGGAGGAACACCGGUGGCGAAGGCGGCCCUCUGGACGGUGACUGACGCUGAGACGCGAAAGCGUGGGGAGCAAACAGG